AAGUCGAACGAAGCACUUUAUUUGAUUUCCUUCGGGACUGAUUAUUUUGUGACUGAGUGGCGGACGGGUGAGUAACGCGUGGGUAACCUGCCUUGUACAGGGGGAUAACAGUUGGAAACGGCUGCUAAUACCGCAUAAGCGCACGGCAUCGCAUGAUGCAGUGUGAAAAACUCCGGUGGUAUAAGAUGGACCCGCGUUGGAUUAGCUAGUUGGUGAGGUAACGGCCCACCAAGGCGACGAUCCAUAGCCGACCUGAGAGGGUGACCGGCCACAUUGGGACUGAGACACGGCCCAAACUCCUACGGGAGGCAGCAGUGGGGAAUAUUGCACAAUGGGCGAAAGCCUGAUGCAGCGACGCCGCGUGAGCGAAGAAGUAUUUCGGUAUGUAAAGCUCUAUCAGCAGGGAAGAUAAUGACGGUACCUGACUAAGAAGCACCGGCUAAAUACGUGCCAGCAGCCGCGGUAAUACGUAUGGUGCAAGCGUUAUCCGGAUUUACUGGGUGUAAAGGGAGCGCAGGCGGUGCGGCAAGUCUGAUGUGAAAGCCCGGGGCUUAACCCCGGUACUGCAUUGGAAACUGUCGUACUAGAGUGUCGGAGGGGUAAGCGGAAUUCCUAGUGUAGCGGUGAAAUGCGUAGAUAUUAGGAGGAACACCAGUGGCGAAGGCGGCUUACUGGACGAUAACUGACGCUGAGGCUCGAAAGCGUGGGGAGCAAACAGGAUUAGAUACCC
rnacentral:rRNA from 1 species